rnacentral:rRNA from 1 species
UGGGGAAUUUUGGACAAUGGGCGAAAGCCUGAUCCAGCAAUGCCGCGUGUGUGAAGAAGGCCCUCGGGUUGUAAAGCACUUUGUCCGGAAAGAAAUCCUUGGCUCUAAUACAGUCGGGGGAUGACGGUACCGGAAGAAUAAGCACCGGCUAACUACGUGCCAGCAGCCGCGGUAAUACGUAGGGUGCAAGCGUUAAUCGGAAUUACUGGGCGUAAAGCGUGCGCAGGCGGUUUGCUAAGACCGAUGUGAAAUCCCCGGGCUCAACCUGGGAACUGCAUUGGUGACUGGCAGGCUAGAGUAUGGCAGAGGGGGGUAGAAUUCCACGUGUAGCAGUGAAAUGCGUAGAGAUGUGGAGGAAUACCGAUGGCGAAGGCAGCCCCCUGGGCCAAUACUGACGCUCAUGCACGAAAGCGUGGGGAGCAAACAGGAUUAGAUACCCUGGUAGUCCACGCCCUAAAACGAUGUCAACUAGUUGUUGGGGGAUUCAUUUCCUUAGUAACGUAGCUAACGCGUGAAGUUGCA